CAAUAAGCGGAGGAAAAGAAACCAACAGGGAUUGCCCCAGUAACGGCGAGUGAAGCGGCAACAGCUCAAAUUUGAAAUCUGGCCCCCGGGUCCGAGUUGUAAUUUGCAGAGGAUGCUUUGGGCGAGGUUCCUUCCGAGUUCCCUGGAACGGGACGCCACAGAGGGUGAGAGCCCCGUCUGGUCGGACACCGAGCCCGUGUAAAGCUCCUUCGACGAGUCGAGUAGUUUGGGAAUGCUGCUCAAAAUGGGAGGUAUAUGUCUUCUAAAGCUAAAUAUUGGCCAGAGACCGAUAGCGCACAAGUAGAGUGAUCGAAAGAUGAAAAGCACUUUGAAAAGAGGGUUAAAAAGUACGUGAAAUUGUUGAAAGGGAAGCGCCUAUGACCAGACUUGCGCCCGGUGAAUCAUCCAGCGUUCUCGCUGGUGCACUUUGCCGGGCACAGGCCAGCAUCAGUUUGGCGCGGGGGAUAAAGGCUUCGGGAAUGUGGCUCCCUCGGGAGUGUUAUAGCCCGCUGCGCAAUACCCUGCACCGGACUGAGGUACGCGCAUCGCAAGGAUGCUGGCGUAAUGGUCAUCAGCGACCCGUCUUGAAACACGGACCAAGGAGUCGUCUUCGUAUGCGAGUGUUCGGGUGUUAAACCCCUACGCGGAAUGAAAGUGAACGUAGGUGAGAGCUUCGGCGCAUCAUCGACCGAUCCUGAUGUUCUCGGAUGGAUUUGAGUAAGAGCAUACGGGGCCGGACCCGAAAGAAGGUGAACUAUGCCUGUAUAGGGUGAAGCCAGAGGAAACUCUGGUGGAGGCUCGCAGCGGUUCUGACGUGCGAAUCGAUCGUCAAAUAUGGGCAUGGGGGCGAAAGACUAAUCGAACCUUCUAGUAGCUGGUU
rnacentral:rRNA from 2 species